rnacentral:rRNA from 1 species
CACAAGCGGUGGAGCAUGUGGUUUAAUUCGACGCAACGCGAAGAACCUUACCAGGGCUUGACAUCCCCUGACCGCGUAUGAAAGUACGUUUUCACCCUCGGGUGACAGGGAGACAGGUGGUGCAUGGUUGUCGUCAGCUCGUGUCGUGAGAUGUUGGGUUAAGUCCCGCAACGAGCGCAACCCCUACGUUUAGUUGCUAACGCGUAAAGGCGAGCACUCUAGACGAACUGCCGUUGACAAAACGGAGGAAGGUGGGAUGACGUCAAAUCAUCAUGCCCCUUAUGUUCUGGGCUACACACGUGCUACAAUGGCCGGUACAGACGGACGCAAAGCCGCGAGGUGGAGCAAAUCCUAAAAAGCCGGUCUCAGUUCGGAUUGCAGGCUGCAAUUCGCCUGCAUGAAGUCGGAAUCGCUAGUAAUCGCAGGUCAGCAUACUGCGGUGAAUACGUUCCCGGGCCUU